UGCUUAAAACCCAAAGGAUUUGACGGUGUCCCACCCCACUANGAGGAGCCUGUUCUAUAAUCGAUGAUCCCCGCUUCACCUAACCAUCCCUCGCCUACCAUUCUGUAUACCUCCGUCAAAAGCUUACCAUNUGAACNCCCGCANUAAGCUUAAUGAUUUUACCAUCAACACUUCGGGUCAAGGUGCAGCUUANGGGACGGAAANUAAUGGGCUACAAUUUCUAAUCUAAAACAAACAAAAGACUAUNUGAAACCCUAGUCAUNANGGUGGAUUUANUAUUAAAAAAAAAAUAAAUUUUNCUUUUAANCCCGGCUCNGGGACCCUUACACNCCNCCCGUC
rnacentral:rRNA from 1 species